rnacentral:tRNA from 1 species
GGGCGAAUAACUCAGCUGGGAGAGUGCAACCCUUACAAGGUUGAAGUCACAGGUUCGAGCCCUGUUUCGCCCA